AUGAAAACCUUUGUUUCCAUACCUCUGUACAGAAACUACAUCAUUUUCUUGAACCUCUCUUUUCUCUUAGUGGCUUCUACUCUCUUGGUUAUAUACAAUUCUUCCCACUCUCCACACAUUCUAGUUCAAAGCAUUCACAGCAACAAUGAACAAGGCUGCCAGGGGUUUCUUGGCAUGGGUAAUUAUGAAGACAAGUGUCAGUACCUCAAGUCCAAAAACCCAUGUGUCUCCCGAGGCUAUAUUGAUUAUCUUUACAUCUUCUAUUGCAGUUUCGGCACUUGCCCCCUUGUGGGUUAUGGCUUUCUGUUGUUUUGUCUUCUGGUUUUGUUCUAUCUAUUGGGUAAUACAGCUUCAGAGUACUUCUGUGCUUCACUUGAGAGUCUAUCAAGGCUCUUAAAACUGUCCCCUACCAUUGCUGGGGUUACUCUUCUCUCCCUUGGUAAUGGAGCCCCUGAUGUCUUCUCCAGCUUAAAGGUGGGACCAACAUUGAUGUUGGUCUCAACACAAUUCUGGGAGGUGCCUCCUUUGUGUCAUCUAACCUCCGUGGAAUCAUAAGUAUUUCAAUUCGCAAGAGGCUUGUCCGAGUUAAGAAAUCUGACUUCGUUAGAGAUGCCUGCUUCUACCUUUUGGUUGUCGUAUGCUUGAUUCUGGUCCUGAUUCAGAAAGAAAUAGAUGUGUGGGCUUCCAUCGCUUUCUCUACACUGUAUGUUGUUUAUGUGAUUGUGGUUUAUGUAUCACAUACUCAAUCUGGUAAACCAAGUGAAUCUUUAAGCAACCCUAGUCAUGACUUGACUGUACCAAUCCUGAGUAGCAUGGAGAGGGAUGAAAGUGAAGAGCUUGGUGCUGCAGAGGACGGAGCUUUAACUUGUGCCGUAGAAGAAGUAAAGAAAAGCUGCUAUCAACUCCCCCGGCCAUCAGAUUCUUGUCGAAUGUUGAUCUUCGUACUUGAGUUACCUCUGUAUGUUCCCAGGAGAUUGACGAUUCCCGUUGUUUGUGAAGAGAGAUGGUCUAAGCCUUAUGAUGUUGCGUCUGUGACACUAGCGCCUGUGCUAUUGUCAUCCCUUUGGAACCAUCAGUAUGCAAACGCUAGCUUUCAGAAAAGCCUCUUGAUCUAUGUGAUUGGAUUGAUUAUUGGACUAGUUUUGGGACUUGUUGCAUGUAUGACAACAGAGAAGUCAAGCCCACCAAAGAAAUGCUUACUUCCUUGGCUUGCUGCUGGCUUCUUGAUGAGUGUUACUUGGAGUUACAUUACAGCUCAGGAACUGGUGGCGUUGUUAGUCUCAACAGGGUAUAUAUUAGGUAUUAGUCCUUCGAUAUUAGGACUGACAGUCCUUGCUUGGGGUAAUUCACUUGGGGAUUUGAUAACCAAUUUGACCAUGGCGUUGAAUGGAGGACCAGAAGGAGCACAGACUGCCUUUUCUGCCUGUUAUGCUGGUCCUAUCUUCAACACUCUGUUUGGAUUGGGGCUGUCACUUGUUGGCUCUUCUUGGUCUAAAUACCCUUCUGCUGUUGUCAUUCAUGGAGAUCCAUACCUCAUGGAGACACUGGGUUUGUUAGGAGGAGGCUUGCUUUGGGCACUUGUGGUGUUGCCAAGGAGAGAUAUGACCCUUGAUGGGGUUUUGGGGGUCGGUCUUUUAGUUAUAUACAUCAUUUCUAUGUCUUUGAGGUUAAUUCAAACACUCGGGUCUCUGCAACUACAAACAGAGUUAUAGCAUUACUGAAUCCUAACAAGGCAAGUAGUAUAUAC